UACGGGGGGGGCAAGCGUUGUUCGGAAUUACUGGGCGUAAAGGGCUCGUAGGCGGCCAACUAAGUCAGACGUGAAAUCCCUCGGCUUAACCGGGGAACUGCGUCUGAUACUGGAUGGCUUGAGGUUGGGAGAGGGAUGCGGAAUUCCAGGUGUAGCGGUGAAAUGCGUAGAUAUCAAGUGGAACACCAGUGGCGAAGGCGAGUCUCUGGACAUUUCCUGACGCUGAGGCACGAAAGCCAGGGGAGCAAACGGG
rnacentral:rRNA from 1 species